UACGUAGGGUGCGAGCGUUGUCCGGAAUUAUUGGGCGUAAAGAGCUCGUAGGCGGCCUGUUGCGUCCGCUGUGAAAGCCCGGGGCUUAACCCCGGGUCUGCAGUCGAUACGGGCAAACUAGAGUAUUGCAGGGGAGACUGGAAUUCCUGGUGUAGCGGUGAAAUGCGCAGAUAUCAGGAGGAACACCGGUGGCGAAGGCGGGUCUCUGGGCAAUAACUGACGCUGAGGAGCGAAAGCGUGGGGAGCGAACAGG
rnacentral:rRNA from 1 species